AGGACGAACGCUGGCGGCGUGCCUAACACAUGCAAGUCGAACGAGGUCCAACCGGUGGCAACACUGGUGAAGACCUAGUGGCGAACGGGUGAGUAUCACGUGAGCAACCUGCCCCGAAGACUGGGAUAACACCGGGAAACCGGUGCUAAUACCGGAUACCCCCACCGGAUCGCAUGGUCUGGUGAGGAAAUGAAUUUUGCUUUGGGAGGGACUCGCGGCCUAUCAGCUUGUUGGUGGUGUAACGGACCACCAAGGCUUCGACGGGUAGCUGGUCUGAGAGGACGAUCAGCCACACUGGGACUGAGACACGGCCCAGACUCCUACGGGAGGCAGCAGUGGGGAAUCUUGCGCAAUGGGCGAAAGCCUGACGCAGCAACGCCGCGUGAGGGACGAAGGCCUUCUGGGUUGUAAACCUCUUUCAGCAGGGACGAUGAUGACGGUACCUGCAGAGAGCCCGGCAACUACGCGUCAGCAGCCGCGGU
rnacentral:rRNA from 1 species